GACGAACGCUGGCGGCGUGCUUAACACAUGCAAGUCGAACGGAAAGGCCCUGCUUUUGUGGGGUGCUCGAGUGGCGAACGGGUGAUUAACACGUGCGUAACCUGCCCUUGACUUUGGGAUAACUUCAGGUAACUUGGGCUCAUACCUGAUCUGAGCUCCUGCUGCAUGGUGGGGGCUGGAAAGUUUCGGCGGUUGGGGAUGGACUCGCGGCUUAUGAGCUUGUUGGUGGGGUAGUGGCUUACCAAGGGUUUGAAGGGUAGCAGGCCUGGGAGGGGGACCGGCCACAAUGGGACUAAGGUACGGCCCAGACUCGUACGGGAGGCAGCAGGGGGGAGUAUGACACAGUGAGGGGGAGCGUGAGGCAAAAGCGCUGGGUGCGGAAUGACGGCCUUCGAGUUGUAAACCGAUGUUGCCUGUGACGAAGCGUGAGUGACGGUAAUGGGUAAAGAAGCACCGGCUAACUACGUG
rnacentral:rRNA from 1 species